rnacentral:rRNA from 1 species
AGCUCCAAUAGCGUAUAUUAAAGUUGUUGCGGUUAAAAAGCUCGUAGUUGGAUUUCGGCGAUCAGGGGCCGGUGAUAUAUUUGUAUCUACUGGCCCAUUUGGUCGUAUUUUUGAAAGAGGGUUUGGGGUCCCCUUCACUGGGUGUCCUAGGUCGCUUUCAGGUUUACUUUGAAAAAAUUAGAGUGCUCAAAGCAGGCUUUUACGCCUGAAUAUUCGUGCAUGGAAUAAUAGAAUAGGAUGUCGAUCCUAUUUUGUUGGUUUUCGGGACUCGACAUAAUGAUAAAUAGGGACAGUCGGGGGCAUUUGUAUUCAAACGACAGAGGUGAAAUUCUUGGACCGUUUGAAGACAAACUACUGCGAAAGCAUUUGCCAAGAAUGUUUUCAUUAAUCAAGAACGAAA